CGAGGACGGUGGAAUACGGCUUGUAGGAAGAGUGAAAUGCAGACCGUUCGCCUGUACCAGGAUGGCCGAGUGGUUAAGGCGUUGGACUUAAGAUCCAAUGGACAAUGUCCGCGUGGGUUCGAACCCCACUCCUGCUAGGGUCAAUCUUAUCUGAUUAGAAGAAUCAGGAUCCAGAAGCCCAAAGAGGCAAACAUAUCUGGAGACUGGGAAAUCCAAGAUCAAGUUGCCAGCAAGUUCGGUUCCUGGUGAGGCUUCUUCCUUGUUUUCAGAAAGACAUCAUCUUGCUGUACCUUCACAAGGCAGACAGAGGGGGCGGGGCUCCGGUCUCCCUCUCUUCUUACAAAGGCCCUAAUCCCAUCAUGGGGGCUUCAUCCUCAUGGCUUCUUCUAAAUCUAAUUAACAUUCAGAGGUUCCACUUUCAACUACCAUCACAUAGGGAGUUAGGGCUUCAAUGUGUGAAAUUUGGGUAGGACAUAAACAUUCAGUCCAUAGCACCAAGCUUCAAUUUCUUUAUCUGCAACAUAUAUACCGCACCUAUUUUUUUAAAUUUUUAUUUAUUUAUUUUGAGAGAGAGCAUGUGAGCAGGGGAGGGUCAGAGAGAGAGAGAGAGAGAGAGAGAGAAUCCAAAGCAGGCUCUACACGGUCAGCACACAGCCAGAUGCAGGGCUUGAACUUAUGAACCUGAGGCAAAACCAAGAGUCAGAUGCUAAACUGAUUGAGCCAUCCAGGCGCCCCUGUAUCACACCUAUUUGUAAAGUUUAACAAUGAAAUGAGAUUUUUAUAAGGCCUUAGCUCAGUCUCAUAAUGAAAACAAAGUAAAAUAUUAAAAAUUUACUAUGUAUUAGGUACUGUUGAAGAAAAUCCAAAGAAGAAUUACGAUUUAUGGAAUACCAUGUUUUCUGAACUAUGCUAAAUGCAUUAAUGCAUUUUAUUCACUGAAUCCUUCAUAAUGCCCUAAGAGUAUUAUUAUUAGGUAUUACUAUCACUAUUUUAUAAAGGGGGAAGCUGAGAGGUUAACUAUUUUCCUAAAGUCACAACUGAUGACCAGCAGAACCAGGAAUGAAAACACAUCGUGUGCUCUGAGUGCUAGGAUAUAUUGCCUCUUCUGUUUACACGGGAAUCUAUGAAAUUCAUUAUUUAAAACUGUCAUGAAAUAAAUAUAAAUGAAUAUUUUUACCUGAGAGUUCUGAGGUUACAGGAAAUGUUUACUAUGAGCCUCAUAAAGAGAGAAUUCAAUUCUUUCAUCUUAAUGAUAACUUUAUUUGCUGCCUAAAAAUUAGAAUACACAGGGAGGGGGGAAUUGGCAAGAUAUUAGUCAAAGGGCAUGUAGUUUCAGUUACACAAGAUGACUGUAUCCUAGAGAUUCACUGCACAGCAUAGCACAUAUAAUUAACAAUACUGUCUUGUAUACUGAAAAAUUGGUUAAGAGAGUAGAUCUUAUAUUAAAUUUUCUUUAAAAAAAAGAGGGAGGGAGGGAACUUUCAGAGGUGAUGGUUGUAGCUUUGUAUUGUUUAUGGUGACAGUUUCAUGGGUGUAUACUUCAAACUCACCAAGAUGUAUACAUCAAAUAUGUAUAGCUGUUUUGGUAUGUUAAGCACACCUCAAAAAAAAAAAAAAAUCAAGAUACAUGAUCUUCUAAUGGGACAAAAUGGUCGAAACAGAACACAGUAGCCCUGGUGUCUGUUUUACCCCUCUCCUCCCACCCUCCACUCUUGACAUCUAUUACCCAAGGCCAACUUCAAGGGGAGAAAUAUAGCUCUGAAAUCAUUUAGCCUGAGGGCAACGUUCUUUUCUAGCUCUAGAAUUCUUUAGUGUGUGUGCUGUCACCCAGCCUCAAGUUUUCUGUUUCUGACUCAUCAAAGGGGUGUAGAAACAUUUAUACUCUCUCCUUUGGAAGAAUUCUUCUAUGACCUUUUCCACCUCCAGCCCAGCCUGCAGGCUGAACAUGUUGGUUAAAGACAGAAAAACUUAAUUUUUAUAGAAACCAAUAAACAAAGUGGGAUUGAGUUUCCUUUAAAAAGAAAAAAUCAGGGGUGUGUGUAUUGGGGGUGUAAUGCCUGGAUGGCUCAGUUGGUUAAGUGGUUAAACAUCCCAGCGUGGGUCAUGAUCUCACGGUCCAGUCAGUAGGUUCGAGCCCCUCAUCGGGCUCUGUGCUGACAGAUCAGAUCCUGGAGCCUGCUUCAGAUUCUGUCUCCCUCUUUCUCUGCCCCCUCCCACUUGCACUCUGUCUCUCUCUGUCUCUCAAAAAUAUAUGUUAAAAAAAAAACUUUAAAAAAUCAGUAUUAGUUUUAAUAUUAAAAAAAUGUGUUGGUUAUGAAAUUCUUGGAAAAAAUAUAUAGUAGUAUUGAAAUUUUUUGAGAAACUGCCGUGUAAUCACAAAACCACACAACUGGUAUUAGAAACAAAGGCCCUGACAGAAAAGCCUCUUUUCCAACAUAACUGAAAAAUGAAUAUAACCACUGAAUCUCUGUUUGGCAGGAUCCAAACACUUGGCUACUCAAGGUAACCACUGGAGAGGCUGGAGGUCAAGUCCAGGGAAAUGCCAGAGUAACCACACUAUUCAUCCAGCCAACUUAAGACAGUUAAUCAAUCACAAAGACAGAAAAAUUAACAAUGAAAUUUUUUCUAGAAUUUAAAGAAGUUGAUGCUAGGAAUCUUGGCCCUGUUGAUGCAGUGGCUCCUCGAGUUAAUAUGGAACAAACCAUACCAUUAGCUGAAGAAAGAUAAACAAAAUAUAUAGGGUUCUGGCACAGCUGGAUUGGGCCACUUUGGGGAAUAGCUCUCAGAGAAGGUUCUAGUAGUAAUGGCCUGGUAAAAAAUAAAACACUUUGUGAUAAUUAAACAAGGAUGAUUAUUCAGAAGAAUUGUGGCACAACACCAAGCAAAGCCAACAUUUAUUCAUAUGUUUUUGUGUUUUAAUCUUGCUGACCUUGUCUUUCCAACCUAUAAUUUUAAUUUGAUCCAGUUUUCAUCAUCUGCUUAGUUUCAAUUUUACUUAAUUAUUAUAUAAAUAAUCUUAAGUCCCAUAGAGAAAUUGGUAGGUCGCUAAAUAAUUAAAUACGUAUUAAGACAGUAACAGGAAGAAAUUCUCUUUUUUCUCUCUGCUCUCUUUUUUUAAGCAAAGAUCGGUUGAGAAUCUGGUGAUCUCAGGCCUAAAGUAUUUGGCUUUCCCCUUUGUUCGGGACUCCUGGUGAGCAGGGGUGGCCUGGUGAUCUAUGAUUAAGAUGACAGUCCCUCCUCCCUCCUCCUUUGCUCCAUGCUUUGCAUAUAUAAAUUGAGCCUUUGGGGUUUACAAGGUGCUAGCAGUCUUAAAGACUAUUAAUAUUAUUGCCUUUUUGGUUAACAGAUUUGUAAUUAUUGUAACUAACCUGAGCCAAAAGAUGAACUAGCAAUUUUUGCAAAUUCAAACAAAACCUACUAGUAUUAUUUUGAAAAACAAAAAACAAACAAAUGAAAUAACUCCACUUCCAUGAUUAAUUUCAAAGGACAACCAUCAAAACAGUAGUCUUUCCCCAAAAGCAGGAAAAUUUUAAAAAUAUGUAUUUUAAAGGAUUUUGCAGCUGUAAAACAGACACUUAAAUUUUAAACUCCCCCCACUUAAAAUUUGAAGUUAACAAACUGUUCAGAAAGUUUGCAAAGCUAAUUAAUUAAUGAGACCUGUUUCCCCAAGCCAUCCCUGACAUGUUGUGGUUGAGGAAAGAAAAAGCUCCUUUUCCCACCCCUCCCCCACCCUGAAGAGCUAGAAACUGGAGGCUUGGUAAGGGGCCACCUAAGAGAGGGGCUUAUCCUUUCCCUGAGAGCCUGGGUACAGUGAGUCCCACUAGGACAGGUUGAGUACAAGCCUGGCUGGAAUUCUCAGAAAACAGGCAAGGCCAGGGUCGAGCAGAAGCACAGUCCUGCAAAUCCACAGCUGCUAUCAGUUUCCCAAACUGUUUUUAGAAUCCUCAGGGGCUGGGAGUGGAAUGGGUUAUGCUCACUUAGGAUGGUUUGGUUUGCAAAUCUGGGAAGAGAGCCAGACAGACCGUUUUCUCCCAUAAUUCUGGAGAUGAUGUGUGCUCUUCAGAGAGAUAUAAAGUCACAGACUCAUAGAACUGGACCUUUGGAGAUCAUCUAGUGAAUCCAUCUGCUAAUGUUACACACCAGGCAGUGGAGACAGAAAAAGUUAAUAACUUGCCCAAGCUCAUUACAUAGUUGGCCUCUGAUAGAGCUAGCACUUGAACCCAGUGUUUUCUUCCAACUCAUUCACAUUUGAUAAACUGAGUAGAUAGUACAUUACAUUUUUCAGAUAUAAUUUGAAGAUAUAUAAAACACGAACUUUGGUGGGUAUAUAUAUACAUAUAUACACUUUUAAUUUUAGUAAAAUACCCAUAACAUGAAAUUUACAUCUUAACCAUUUUUAAGUGUGCAGUUGAGUGGUAUUAAGUACAUUCACAUUUUUAAAAAAUUUUUUAAUGUUUUAUUUUUAAGACAGAGCAUGAGUGGGGUAGGGGCAGAGAGAGAGAGAGAGGGG